UACGGAGGAUCCAAGCGUUAUCCGGAAUCAUUGGGUUUAAAGGGUCCGUAGGCGGUCUGGUAAGUCAGUGGUGAAAGCCCAUCGCUCAACGGUGGAACGGCCAUUGAUACUGCUGGACUUGAAUUAUUGGGAAGCAACUAGAAUAUGUAGUGUAGCGGUGAAAUGCUUAGAGAUUACAUGGAAUACCAAUUGCGAAGGCAGGUUGCUACCAAUUGAUUGACGCUGAUGGACGAAAGCGUGGGUAGCGAACAGG
rnacentral:rRNA from 1 species